AGUUGAUCAUGGCUCAGGAUGAACGCUAGCGGCAGGCUAACACAUGCAAGUCGAGGGGCAGCGCGGGGUAGCAAUACCCUGGCGGCGACCGGCGCACGGGUGCGUAACGCGUAUGCAACCUGCCCGUAACAGGGGGUAUAACGGGGAGAAAUCCCCACUAAUCCCCCAUAUUGUCCUGAUGCCGCAUGGCGUUAGGACGAAAGCCUUGGUGGUUACGGACGGGCAUGCGUGACAUUAGGUAGUUGGCGGGGCAACGGCCCACCAAGCCGACGAUGUCUAGGGGAGCUGAGAGGCAGGACCCCCCACACUGGUACUGAGACACGGACCAGACUCCUACGGGAGGCAGCAGUGAGGAAUAUUGGUCAAUGGGCGGAAGCCUGAACCAGCCAUGCCGCGUGGAGGAAGACGGGCCCCUAUGGGGUUGUAAACUCCUUUUGCCGCAGAGUAAUAAGGGCCGUGCGCGGCCUGAUGAGAGUAUGCGGCGAAUAAGCAUCGGCUAACUCCGUGCCAGCCGCAGC
rnacentral:rRNA from 1 species